rnacentral:rRNA from 1 species
AUGAACCUAGCUCUCCUCACUAGAUGGCUUUGGCGCAUUGCAAACGGCGAUGGUGGCUUGUGGCUACAGAUCAUUCACCGUAAAUACCUGCGCGAUCAACCCUUUUCCUCUUGCGUUAGGACUGGCGGUUCCCAGUUUUGGCAGUCUGUCGUCUAGCUCCUCCCGGUCCUUCGCAUUGGGACCUCCAUCUCGGUUGGCUCUGGAUCGUCCAUGAUGUUCUGGUUCGACCAUUGGGCCGACAAUCUCCCUUUCGCUGCUAGGUUCCCUAACCUCUUUUCCAUUGCGGUCGAACCUAGGAUCUCCGUCGAGUCGGCCCUUAUUGACUUAGGGCGCCUCGCGUUCCGGAGGCCAUUUGGGCCACCGGAGGUUGCCGCUUGCCACGAGCUCCUUGAUACGGUGGCUCUCCAUGAGCCGAACCUGACGCAGCACCACGAUGACCGCCUGUCCUGGCAUCUCGAGCCCUCUAGACGCUUCUCCAUGAAGUCCUUUUACCGUGCCAUCGCUCCCUCUCCUGGACCGGCUGUCCUCGAAUCUAUAUGGUCCAUCCGCGUGCCCCUCAAAAUUAGAAUCUUCAUGUGGCAAUGGAUCCGUAGCCGGCUCCCCUCUGGCGUGGAGGUGGUGAAGCGCCAAGGUCUGGGUGAUGGUAUCUGCCCCCUAUGUGGGACGGAAGAAACCUCAAAUCACAUCUUCUUCUCGUGCAUGUCCGCCCAGUUUCUUUAG